UGAGGAAUAUUGGUCAAUGGACGAGAGUCUGAACCAGCCAAGUAGCGUGCAGGAUGACGGCCCUAUGGGUUGUCAACUGCUUUUGUUUGGGAAUAAUCGACAUUACGUGUACUGUUUUGCAUGUACCAUUCGAAUAAGGACCGGCUAAUUCCGUGCCAGCAGCCGCGGUAAUACGGAAGGUCCAGGCGUUAUCCGGAUUUAUUGGGUUUAAAGGGAGUGUAGGCGGUUGGUUAAGCGUGUUGUGAAAUGUAGAUGCUCAACAUCUGACUUGCAGCGCGAACUGGCUGACUUGAGUACACACAACGUAGGCGGAAUUCAUGGUGUAGCGGUGAAAUGCUUAGUAAUCAUGAAGAACUCCGAUAGCGAAGGAAGCUUACGGGAGCGCAACUGACGCUGAAGAUCGAAGGUGCGGGGAUCGAACAGG
rnacentral:rRNA from 1 species